UCUAGAUAAAAUUAUCUAGAUAAAAUUAUCUAGAUAAAGAUGAGACGAAAAUAUGCGUUUUAUCAUAAAAUGAAGAACAACAAACACUAGAUAAGAUACAUAUAUAUAUAUUACACGCAAAUAGAAGGAAUAGAAGGAAUUUGUCUUGGAUAUCGAUUAGCGAUACACGGGGCACAAUUGCCUCGCUUGAAAGAGGAAACGCGUGCUUGUUCUUUCGAGAAAGUGGGACAAGUUAUUGAUAAAUUGUCGUUAUCCUAUAUAUGUUACAUAUGCAUCCGAUUUCAGUAGCCUCCUUAAAAAACGGUUCGAUCGAACCGAGAUGUAAAUGUUUCGAGUUACAAAAGAGUUCUUUGAUGGCAAAAAUGGGAAACAUGCAAAAAGUGAUGGCCUCCUUCGACAUGUUUGCUGAUGAAAAAUCGUCUCGAGUCUAAAAUGAUACCAGGAAUCUGCCAUUAACAGAGGUUUUACGAUAGUUCUGCGACAUCCUGUAUAGUAUUGCAAUUUACAAUAUGCACAGAGUGCAGUGCGCUUGCCACUUAAUGGUUCUAGUUUAUUAGAGGGUAGAAUGAAGUUCAUAAGUGGCUCGAAAAAGAGGACUCGAGCGACCUAAGAGAAGAGUUCACGACGCAAUUACGCCAACACAACUGCAUCGUUGUGGAAUGGAAAUGGCAAAACCGCUGCGAGAAAAAUGCAUUACGAGCGGCAAUAAAUUUUUAUGAAGAGAAAAUGAAGCCGACAUCAUUUCAGAAAACGAAAUGCAGUUCUCUCCGGGUUUAAAGAACGCGCGACGCUUAUCGAUUGUUUUAAAAUCAAUAAGAUAGAUUAUAAGGACUCGACUACCUCGCAGUACGUUAACCUACUUUAUUAACAGGUUAUAGUCGACCGUAUUAAUCAUGUCUGAUGCAUUUGCAAUCGAUGGUUUGUGUAAUAUUUAGAAAAAAUAGCUGUUUAAAAUAUUUCUGAUUAUACAUUGUAUAUUUACUUCCGCUUUCUUGCAAUUAUACAUAUAUAAAAAAUGCAAAUUAUUUCA